GCUCUUUUGAUAAGAAUUACUUCACAGGGCUCUAUUGUACCUGGAUAGUCAUAAUUUUUGACAACCAUGCAAUUAUCUUUUCUAUUGUGAGCUUUCUUAAAAAUAUCCAGGGUUAAUUGGAUAGAGCUUCUGUUUUGGAAAGAAGAGGGAAGAUACUCUAUUCUGGGUCCUGUACCCUGAGAAAGCUUGACUAUCAGGGCUCUGCUGAUGCUGCCCCAGGCUGAGACGGACUGAAGUUUCUAUUUCAGACAGCACAGGAAAGGAGUCCCAUAAGAGACCCAGACUUCAGAAAUGAUUGUCAGGAAUGAUGACAGAAUAUCUGGAAACCAAAGAAGAAAACUGUGAAGUUCCCCAACCCCAAGUUAAAAAAAAUAAACCACCAGUGGCUCUUCAGUGGCUUGGAAUUUUCUGUUCGCACUCAAUGAUUUAGCCUGAUACAUCUCUAUUUGUACCUAAAUGCCACUUCAGGUGUAUUUUUCAAUUGUUGAAAUAUUAGACAUUCAGUGCUCUCUUAUACAGUACAUGUAUGUUAGCAUCUCAAGAAAAUUAAACCACAAAAUAGACAGGCAGUCACUCUGAUUUUAUCCAUAUUGAUAUUUAGGCAACAGUGUUAAAGACACUCAUGUUAACCCCAAAGACUAUGCAGGUCAACUGUAUCAAGAGGUUUUCCAAAGCAACAACAACAACAACAACAACAACAACAACAACAACAGGACAACCAAUAAAACAUUUAAGCUGAUAAGCUUCAUUCCUGAAAGGCUGAAACUGGAGCUCUACUGAUGUGAGUUUCCCUACAAAAUUGCUUGUAGGAAGCAAAGACAGAAGCAGUCAGACCAGGGCAGCAAAAUUGAGGGGAGGAGUGUGGCUACAGUGAAUGGGUGUCACUGAGAGUCAUGAAUAGGGAGCACUUUGGUUGGAGAUUCAGAGCUCUGGAGUGUGACUGCGGAGGGAAGCAUGCAUGAAGAUCACUUUGGCUUUUGAAAUGUUAAGUUCCACCCAGUUGAAGAACUGGUCAAGAAGAGUCAGAUAGCUGGCUCAAUGGGUUAAAAGUUCUUCCCACACAAUACACAUUCUUUUUCUGUUUUUC
rnacentral:lncRNA from 1 species